rnacentral:rRNA from 1 species
CGGACGGGUGAGUAAUGCUUGGGAAUCUGGCUUACGGAGGGGGAUAACUACGGGAAACUGUAGCUAAUACCGCGUAAUAUCUUCGGAUUAAAGGGUGGGACUUUCGGGCCACCUGCCAUAAGAUGAGCCCAAGUGGGAUUAGGUAGUUGGUGGGGUAAAGGCCUACCAAGCCGACGAUCUCUAGCUGGUCUGAGAGGAUGACCAGCCACACUGGAACUGAGACACGGUCCAGACUCCUACGGGAGGCAGCAGUGGGGAAUAUUGCACAAUGGGGGGAACCCUGAUGCAGCCAUGCCGCGUGAAUGAAGAAGGCCUUCGGGUUGUAAAGUUCUUUCGGUGAUGAGGAAGGUGUUUGUUUUAAUAGAACAAGCAAUUGACGUUAGUCACAGAAGAAGCACCGGCUAACUCCGUGCCAGCAGCCGCGGUAAUACGGAGGGUGCGAGCGUUAAUCGGAAUGACUGGGCGUAAAGGGCACGCAGGCGGUGACUUAAGUGAGAUGUGAAAGCCCUGGGCUUAACCUGGGAAUUGCAUUUCAUACUGGGUCGCUAGAGUAUUUUAGGGAGGGGUAGAAUUCCACGUGUAGCGGUGAAAUGCGUAGAGAUGUGGAGGAAUACCGAAGGCGAAGGCAGCCCCUUGGGAAUAUACUGACGCUCAUGUGCGAAAGCGUGGGGAGCAAACAGGAUUAGAUACCCUGGUAGUCCACGCUGUAAACGCUGUCGAUUUGGGGAUUGGGCUUUGAGCUUGGUGCCCGUAGCUAACGUGAUAAAUCGACCGCCUGGGGAGUACGGC